AGAGUUUGAUCCUGGCUCAGGAUGAACGCUGGCGGCGUGCCUAAUACAUGCAAGUCGAACGAGUUCUUCGGAACUAGUGGCGGACGGGUGAGUAACACGUUGGUACCUGCCCCGAAGUGGGGAAUAACUGCCCGAAAGGGUGGCUAAUACCGCAUAAUACCGCAAGGUUAAAGCGAGUAAUCGCGCUUCGGGAGGGGCCUGCGUCCCAUUAGCUUGUUGGUAGGGUAAUGGCCUACCAAGGCAACGAUGGGUAGCUGGAUCGAGAGGUUGACCAGCCACACUGGGACUGAGAUACGGCCCAGACUCCUACGGGAGGCAGCAGUAAGGAAUCUUCCACAAUGGACGAAAGUCUGAUGGAGCAACGCCGCGUGCAGGAUGACGGUCUUCGGAUUGUAAACUGCUUUUAUAUGGGAAGAUUAUGACGGUACCAUAUGAAUAAGGACCGGCUAACUACGUGCCAGCAGCCGCGGUAAUACGUAGGGUCCAAGCGUUAUCCGGAAUCACUGGGCGUAAAGCGUGCGUAGGUGGCUUGUUAAGUGAGAUGUUAAAUCGUGUGGCUCAACCAUAUCGUUGCAUCUCAUACUGGCAGGCUAGAGGACGGCAGAGGCAAGUGGAAUUACGAGUGUAGCAGUGAAAUGCGUAGAUAUUCGUAGGAACACCAAUGGCGAAGGCAGCUUGCUGGGCCACUCCUGACACUGAGGUACGAAAGCGUGGGGAGCGAACAGGAUUAGAUACCCCGGUAGUCC
rnacentral:rRNA from 1 species